CCUACGGGUGGCAGCAGUGAGGAAUAUUGGUCAAUGGACGAGAGUCUGAACCAGCCAAGCAGCGUGAAGGAUGACUGCUCUAUGGGUUGUAACCUCUUUUUAUAAAGGAAUAAAACGAGGCACGUGUGCCUUUUUGCAUGUACUUUAUGAACAAGGAUCGGCUAACUCGGUGCCAGCAGCCGCGGUAAUACGGAGGAUCCGAGCGUUUUCCGGAUUUAUUGGGUUAAAAGGGUGUGCAGUGGGAAUGUCAAGUCAGCGGUAAAAUUUAGGGGCUAAACCCCGUCGUGCCGUUGAAACUGGCGUGCUUGAGUGAGCGAGAAGUAGGCGGAAUGCGUGGUGUAGCGGUGAAAUGCAUAGAUAUCACGCAGAACACCGAUUGCGAAGGCAGAAUACCGGCGCUCAACUGACGCUGAUGCACGAAAGCGUGGGUAUCGAACAGGAUUAGAUACCCUUGUAGUC
rnacentral:rRNA from 1 species